CCGGAAUUGAUUUUUUAUACUAUCUGUAAUGUAUCAGAAACGAAAUGCGGUCAGUGACCUCGCACGUUUUUUUUUUCAAUCUUUCAAUUUUGAGAAUACAUAAUUUUCAAUCCUGGUGUUUGGAUAUAUUAUUUAAUGUUUUGAAAAUUUGGAAUAAUGAUUCGAAAAGAGCCAGACGAUUCCUGGAUUGCUAUAUCUAAUGUUUGCCGGUUUUAUGUUCUUAUCGGCGUUCCUAGUUAUUUUGUUACCAGAAACAAACAAUACAGCUCUGAAGGACACAAUUGACAUUGAUCCCAAUAACUCUAUAUCGAAGAAAGUAAAAGAUUCUUUUAAUAAAACAUUGCAAAAAGGUUAUGAAUAUCUUAAUUAGACAAUACACAAAUUGUUAUUUCAUUUGUUGCAUAGAAAUAUUUGUUCUCAAGAAAGUGCAUAUUUUGUUUUAGAUACAUGUGUUCAUAGUUUUUUACUUGUAUUCUACAUGUAACUCAUGAUUUACAGAGUUCAAUAAAAGUUAUAAGGA